ensembl:lncRNA
GUGAAGGGUGGGGGCCACAUUCCAACCUUCGGGAGGGAGACGAGCGCUUGGGAAGAGUUCACAUUUGUAGCUUAGAGAUAGUAAAGUAUAGAAAAUAACUAGUAGAAUAAACUCAAACAAAUUUUAUUAAUAAAUAGUGUACUUCAGAAUAGAUAAAUAAAGUAAUAAAGUAAUAAUUAAAAAUGGCACCAACAGCGGUAGAGAUUUUGAGUAGAGACCGUCUAUUGCUCAAAGGUGAGAUGAAAAAGAUCUCUGAGAAUUGGGAAGAAAGGACAGAAGCAGCAGGUAUUAUAUGGCCCAUGGGAGGGACUUUUGAUCCAAUAAUGUAUCGGGACAUGGAGGUAGUAAUAAGGAAUUACAUAGAUAACAGAAGUGGAAAAACGGCCUUAGCGAAGAAGGACAGGGAAAGGUUAGUGCUAGCUUUGUUCGAAGAGGAGGGAGAGAGGUGUCGCGCAUUACAACGAGUGGCCAGAAAAAUAAUCACAAAGGAAGAGUGUAACAAUGCUGACAUUUGUUGUAGUGAGGGUGAAAACGAGAAUGAAGGAGAGGAGGAGGAUGACAUUGAGCAUGAUGGUGAAGGGUCAUCACAACCAUGUGUAAAACACAUUACUAAGAAUGCUAAAGGGAAAUUAAAGAAGCGGAACAAAAGAAAGGAGGAGUGGUCUGGGACACAAGGGGCAGAGGAGCCUGGCUGCAGUACAGCAGUACUAAGCCCCACACCACUCGAGUUAGAUGAGAAACUAAGGAGAGAACCAAGGGGAAAAAAGGCACCCGACACCCUCCCCGAAAAAACGUAGAACCACCACUGGGAUGGGUGAUUCUGUGGUUCUUGGAGACUCUCCAACGCAUCGGAACACCAUAUGAUGGGUGGAAGCAGUCCCAUCAGAAGACCAAAGUGCGGCUACGGUAAUCAAGGCUCUGACGAGAGAAGUCAUGGCAAGGUUUGGAAUUCCGUCACAAAUUAGCUCAGACGACAGAGCAGCGUUUGUUCAGAAAACACUCAGACAGGUGAUUUAACAUCUGCAUGUCAAAUAAAGACUAGUCCGUGUCUACAUUCCUCAAACCACAAGGUAUGGUGGAGAGAGGAAUGGGACGCUUAAGACAAAGAUUAACAAAAUUAAAUUAGAGUACUAAAUUGGAGGACUAAUGCACUACGACUGACACUAAUGAGUUAUCGCAUGAAAACUAACAGAACGACGCAUCUAACCCCGCAUGAAAUGCUUACGGGUCGACCCAUGCCUUCACCUGUCAUUCGAGGGCCUCAUAAAGGACCUCCAUUAGAACAAUUGGAAACUGAAUUAAGACGUUAUAUGGGACAACUAACUGGCAUACAAAGGCUUAUUUUUCAACAAGAGAAAGACAGAGUUCCAGAGUUGGAGAAGGAGCCACCAAGGGGGGUGGAGCCAGGUGACCAAGUGUAUCUCAGGAUGUUCAGGAGAAAGUGGAACGAGCCCAGAGAAGGACCAUACAAAGUCACCAACGCAACACCAACAGCCAUCCAAGUGGAAGGAAGUGCCACGUGGUAUCAUCUCAACCACUGCACAAAAGCCGCUCAACCUAAAGCCAGGGAUGAGCAUGAGGAGGAGGAGCCAGACGCAGACACGCCUGGGGCUGACCAGCUGCCCCAGGACCAGAUCCAGUUGAGUCAAGAGAUUCAGCAACAUGAUAAUGCUGAAAACGGGGAGCCUGUUCCUGAUCCUUUACGGGUUGUGCCAGAUUCCGCUGGCACAAGGACAGACCCCGAGGAAGGAUGAAACCACGGAGACAACACAGACCUGGAAGAGCCAGGAAUCAGGGGCUGGUACUGAAGGAAGCCAGAGAGAAUAUAUACUUCUUAAAGCUGUGGCUUGGCAGAACAGACAGGCCUUAGAUUGGCUUUUAGCAGAAAAGGGGGGAGUUUGUGAUCUUAUAGGUGAAAUGUGUUGUACCUUCAUUCCAAAUAAUACUGCCCCAGAUGGAUCAUUUACACUUGCGAUGAACAAUUAAAAACGUUUAAGAAAAGAAUUAAAGGAAAACGCAGGCCAUGAUCAGGGAAUGUUUGGAUGGCUUGAAACAAAGUUUGGUAUGUGGGGAAUGAUGUUCGCAAAGAUAGGAGUAGUGCUCCUAAUAGUACUAACAGUGAUGGGUCUGAUCUUUUGCUGCUGCAUUCCCAUAGUCAGAUCCGUAAUAGCAUCCAGGCUUUCUAAAGAGAUGGCCCUCAUGGUGACUGGCAUAGAGGAGGGUUGGGAGGGAGAGGGUGCGCCGAGAGGAUGGUCGCACUGACAAUGGCUCUGCAUGCACUACGCAGCUUUAUGUUUAUAAUUGUUUUUAUUGUUAGUUUUUUUGUCGCUCAUUCAGUAUGAUCGACUGGCACUUUUGGAAAUUCGUGAGUCACAGCGAGUGCUUGCUGUGACUCCUUUGUCUUACCGCCGGUAUGCCUACCAAUACGCCGACGGAAGAGAAAGAAGAGAGGCAAGCGAGCCGGCAUCCUGUGCAGAUCUCGGACGAGAUACUGCAACCCACCGCUUCCAAGCAUUCUACUAGCGAAUGUGCAAUCUUUGGACAAUAAACUGGACGAGCUACACGCACGGAUUGAAUUCCAGCGGGACAUUGCAAACUGUUGUGUACUGGCGUUUACCGAGACCUGGCUGGAUCCUAUGGUGCCUGACUCUGCCGUCACUCCGACCGGCUUCUCCAUCUACCGGCAGGACAGGACUUCCGAGUCAGGUAAAAGAAGGGGAGGAGGGGUAUGCUUGAUGGUUAACUCUCGCUGGGGCUCGGAUUUUGCUGCACUUUCAGCACACUGCUCACCAGACCUGGAGCUGUUAUCGAUUAAAGUUCGCCCCUUCUAGCUCCCAUGGGAAUUCAGCUCCGUUAUUGUCACAGCAGUAUACAUUCCACCGCAGGCGGACAAAACGUGCGCGUUAGAGGAACUUUACAGAGUAAUUAAUGGACUUGAGGAUGCUCACCCUGAGGCGGUUUCUAUUGUUGUUGGAGACUUCAAUAGGACCAAUAUGAAGAAAGUUUUACC